CUCCGAUGACAGGCGCAGGGACUUCCUGUAGGCGGGACCGGCGGUCACGUCGUUGAGCUCUUUGCUUUCGUCGUCGCUCGACCACUCCGAGGUUUUCUCUCUGAAGGAAGGUUAAGCAUUUAACUUUCAUCGGCACUUUUUCAGGGUCCGUGUCCGGAGCUGGACUCUCAUUGGUCAAAGUCUUCUGCGGCUCCAGCUUGCUCUCUGUGGACAACUGAACACAAAGCAAGUAUUGCAUGUUACAUAAUUGUAAAUUGUGAAGAGGUCUGGCUACCUGCUUGACGCUGCUCUUCCUCCAGAACCACCAUCGCCCUGACUUUUUAGGCAUCCUGUCCCUCACCCAGGCUUCUUCUGUGGCCUAUUGGUCAGGACACUAGCAAAUCUCAAGACUCUUUGACAAAAGAUUUCAGCAAAUCUUGUGAUAGCCACAAAUCGCAUGAGCAAAUUACUUUUGGGAGGUUCUUCUGAAAAGCCUGCAUACUGAGGAUGAGCGGUGCCGCCAGUGUCCAGUUGUAAUAUCUGCGAGAGAGAUCGAAUGACGAACGUGAUUGACACAACCAAGUUUCGAGCAAGGUGGCGCCGGUGUUGCCGCUUACCGCCGUCGAUCUCCGAGUCAGCGCUCCCGUCGCCGCCGCCGCAAAGCGACAGCGCCACGUCGGGCAGGUCGGCGGCUGAGUCGGAAAGACACUCCGCCCCGCUAUCCCCGUGACUCCCACCACUGCCGCCCGCCGCAGUCGUCUCCCUCCAGGACCUCGAAACCUGGUCCGACUCGCUGGACACGCAGACUAUCAUAAGUCAACUGCUGAGCAAAUAUUUGGAUUCGGGUUGGUGUCCAUGCUGGCGGCAGAUGUGAGGCUGCAGGAAUCAGGAGUGAAGGGCGUGGAUGGUGACAAGGUGGAGGCCAGUUCAGGAAAAAGGGAGACAACUCACAGGUGAGGUUGAGGGGGAAGUUCAUGCUUGUUUUUUUUUUAUUAUCAUUAGUGUCGUUGGCAAACACAAAAGACUAACAGUGAGGGUGGAGGUGGCAAAUAUCGCCAUGGCGAUCGGUGAUCUUCACAUUGGACGGGCGGUGGAAGUUGAUCAUCACAACAAACAAUCUGGUGAUCAUGUGUGACCGCGUUUUGCCGCAAAUAAUGUCAGUCUUGUGCUCACUUCUUCUCAGAUGGAUACAUAUUUUGAUGUGUGGUGAAUAUCAACUUACUUAGUUGCAACAAAGAAAAGCUAAUGGGAUGAAA